GAUGAAGAACGUAGCGAAAUGCGAUACGUAAUGUGAAUUGCAGAAUUCAGUGAAUCAUCGAGUCUUUGAACGCACAUUGCGCCCCCUGGUAUUCCGGGGGGCAUGCCUGUCCGAGCGUCAUUGCUGCCCUCAAGCACGGCUUGUGUGUUGCGCCUCCGUCCUCCUCCCGGGGGACGGGCCCGAAAGGCAGCGGCGGCACCGCGUCCGGUCCUCGAGCGUAUGGGGCUUCGUCACCCGCUCUUGUAGGCCCGGCCGGCGCUUGCCGACACAUCAAUCUUUUUUCCAGGUUGACCUCGGAUCAGGUAGGGAUACCCGCUGAACUUAAGCAUAUCAAUAAGCGGAGGA
rnacentral:misc_RNA from 1 species